rnacentral:rRNA from 1 species
UACGUAGGGUGCGAGCGUUAAUCGGAAUUACUGGGCGUAAAGCGUGCGCAGGCGGUUGGUUAAGUCUGAUGUGAAAGCCCCGGGCUCAACUUGGGAAUGGCAUUGGAAACUGGCUGGCUAGAGUGUGGCAGAGGGGGGUGGAAUUCCGCGUGUAGCAGUGAAAUGCGUAGAGAUGCGGAGGAACACCGAUGGCGAAGGCAGCCCCCUGGGCUGACACUGACGCUCAGGCACGAAAGCGUGGGGAGCAAACAGG